GCCACGUCACGAUGAAACACCAGUUUCCCGUACGAUCACCGAAGUUAAGCAACGUAGAGCCCGGUCAGUACCAAGAUGGGUGACCGACUGAGAAUACCAGAUGCU